GCCAACAUCUGCUCUUCAAACAGAGGGGAAUAUUAUUACAUACAGCACAACCAGAUCUUGUUCUUGGAGUUCUAUCUUUAUUCUCUUCUGUUCUCUUUCUUUUGUACUGACAUCAAGCACAAGUUUGAGUGGAUGACAGAGAAAUCUGAUGAUGAUUCAGAUCUGAAUUUAAUUGAAUAGAAGGUAGUGAACUUGAAAACUCAAAGAGUUGAUGAUAGAGCUGCUGACGAAAUUGAACAUGAGAAAGGAUAGUAGUGCCAGUGCUAGUGUCAGUGCCAGUAGCUAGUCAAUGAAGAAUAUAAGCAUUCACAAUAGAAUGAUUGAUAAUCCAGUACAGAAUUGUCAACCAGGUGUGAUUGAUGGGCAUAUGAGUCUCAUAGGA
rnacentral:sRNA from 2 species